rnacentral:rRNA from 1 species
UACCAGCACCCCGAGUGGUCGGGACGAUUAUUGGGCCUAAAGCAUCCGUAGCCGGUUCUGCCAGUCCUCCGUUAAAUCCAGCUGCUCAACAGAUGGGCCGCGGAGGAUACUACAGAGCUAGGAGGCAGGAGAGGCAAGCGGUACUCAGUGGGUAGGGGUAAAAUCCGUUGAUCCAUUGAAGACCACCAGUGGCGAAGGCGGCUUGCCAGAAUGCGCUCGACGGUGAGGGAUGAAAGCUGGGGGAGCAAACCGG